AUACGUAGGGGGCGAGCGUUGUCCGGAAUGAUUGGGCGUAAAGGGCGCGUAGGCGGCCUGUUAAGUCUGGCGUGAAAGUCCUGUUUUUAAGAUGGGAAUUGCUUUGGAUACUGUCGGGCUUGAGUGCAGGAGAGGUAAGUGGAAUUCCCAGUGUAGCGGUGAAAUGCGUAGAGAUUGGGAGGAACACCAGCGGCGAAGGCGACUUACUGGACUGUAACUGACGCUGAGGCGCGAAAGUGUGGGGAGCAAACAGGAUUAGAUACCCUGGUAGUCCACACUGUAAACGAUGAAUGCUAGGUGUAGGGGGUAUCGACCCCUUCUGUGCCGCAGUCAACACAAUAAGCAUUCCGCCUGGGGAGUACGGCCGCAAGGUUGAAACUCAAAGGAAUCGACGGGG
rnacentral:rRNA from 1 species